GAUGAACGCUAGCGGCAGGCUUAACACAUGCAAGUCGAGGGGCAGCACGUCUUCGGAUGGUGGCGACCGGCGCACGAGUGCGUAACGCGUAUACAAUCUACCUUUUACAGGGGCAUAGCCCGGGGAAACCCGGAUUAAUAUCCCAUGGUACCAUGAUAUGGCAUCAUAUUAUGGUUAAAGCUUUGGCGGUGAAAGAUGAGUAUGCGUUCUAUUAGCUAGAUGGUAAGGUAACGGCUUACCAUGGCUUUGAUAGAUAGGGGUCCUGAGAGGGAGAUCCCCCACACUGGUACUGAGACACGGACCAGACUCCUACGGGAGGCAGCAGUGAGGAAUAUUGGACAAUGGGCGAAAGCCUGAUCCAGCCAUGCCGCGUGCAGGAAGACGGCCCUAUGGGUUGUAAGCUGCUUUUAUACGGGAAGAAACACUCCCUCGUGAGGGAGCUUGACGGUACCGUAUGAAUAAGGAUCGGCUAACUCCGUGCCAGCAGCCG
rnacentral:rRNA from 1 species